GGACAAUGGGCGAAAGCCUGAUCCAGCAAUACCGCGUGUGUGAAGAAGGCCUGAGGGUUGUAAAGCACUUUCAAUUGGGAGGAAAACCUGUCGGUCAAUACCCGGCAGCUUGACAUUACCUUUACAAGAAGCACCGGCUAACUCCGUGCCAGCAGCCGCGGUAAUACGGAGGGUGCAAGCGUUAAUCGGAAUUACUGGGCGUAAAGCGUGCGUAGGCGGUUAUUUAAGUCAGAUGUGAAAGCCCCGGGCUUAACCUGGGAACUGCAUUUGAUACUGGGUAACUAGAGUUUAGUAGAGGAGAGUGGAAUUUCAGGUGUAGCGGUGAAAUGCGUAGAGAUCUGAAGGAACACCAGUGGCGAAGGCGACUCUCUGGACUAAAACUGACGCUGAGGUACGAAAGCGUGGGUAGCAAACAGGAUUAGAUACCCUGGUAGUCCACGCCGUAAACGAUGUCAACUAGCCGUUGGGUCUUUUAAUAGACUUAGUGGCGCAGCUAACGCAUUAAGUUGACCGCCUGGGGAGUACGGCCGCAAGGUUAAA
rnacentral:rRNA from 1 species